rnacentral:rRNA from 1 species
UCAUGGCUCAGAUUGAACGCUGGCGGCAGGCCUAACACAUGCAAGUCGAGCGGUAGCACAGAAGAGCUUGCUCUUUGGGUGACGAGCGGCGGACGGGUGAGUAAUGUCUGGGAAACUGCCUGAUGGAGGGGGAUAACUACUGGAAACGGUAGCUAAUACCGCAUAACCUCGCAAGAGCAAAGAGGGGGACCUUAGGGCCUCUCGCCAUCAGAUGUGCCCAGAUGGGAUUAGCUAGUAGGUGAGGUAAUGGCUCACCUAGGCGACGAUCCCUAGCUGGUCUGAGAGGAUGACCAGCCACACUGGAACUGAGACACGGUCCAGACUCCUACGGGAGGCAGCAGUGGGGAAUAUUGCACAAUGGGCGCAAGCCUGAUGCAGCCAUGCCGCGUGUGUGAAGAAGGCCUUCGGGUUGUAAAGCACUUUCAGCGAGGAGGAAGGCGGUAAGGUUAAUAACCUUAUCGAUUGACGUUACUCGCAGAAGAAGCACCGGCUAACUCCGUGCCAGCAGCCGCGGUAAUACGGAGGGUGCAAGCGUUAAUCGGAAUGACUGGGCGUAAAGCGCACGCAGGCGGUCUGUUAAGUUGGAUGUGAAAUCCCCGGGCUUAACCUGGGAACUGCAUUCAAAACUGACAGGCUAGAGUCUUGUAGAGGGGGGUAGAAUUCCAGGUGUAGCGGUGAAAUGCGUAGAGAUCUGGAGGAAUACCGGUGGCGAAGGCGGCCCCCUGGACAAAGACUGACGCUCAGGUGCGAAAGCGUGGGGAGCAAACAGGAUUAGAUACCCUGGUAGUCCACGCUGUAAACGAUGUCGAUUUGGAGGUUGUGCCCUUGAGGCGUGGCUUCCGGAGCUAACGCGUUAAAUCGACCGCCUGGGGAGUACGGCCGCAAGGUUAAAACUCAAAUGAAUUGACGGGGGCCCGCACAAGCGGUGGAGCAUGUGGUUUAAUUCGAUGCAACGCGAAGAACCUUACCUACUCUUGACAUCCACAGAAUUUGGUAGAGAUACCUUAGUGCCUUCGGGAACUGUGAGACAGGUGCUGCAUGGCUGUCGUCAGCUCGUGUUGUGAAAUGUUGGGUUAAGUCCCGCAACGAGCGCAACCCUUAUCCUUUGUUGCCAGCGAUUUCGGUCGGGAACUCAAAGGAGACUGCCGGUGAUAAACCGGAGGAAGGUGGGGAUGACGUCAAGUCAUCAUGGCCCUUACGAGUAGGGCUACACACGUGCUACAAUGGCGUAUACAAAGAGAAGCGACCUCGCGAGAGCAAGCGGACCUCAUAAAGUACGUCGUAGUCCGGAUUGGAGUCUGCAACUCGACUCCAUGAAGUCGGAAUCGCUAGUAAUCGUAGAUCAGAAUGCUACGGUGAAUACGUUCCCGGGCCUUGUACACACCGCCCGUCACACCAUGGGAGUGGGUUGCAAAAGAAGUAGGUAGCUUAACCUUCGGGAGGGCGCUUACCACUUUGUGAUUCAUGACUGGGGUGAAGUCGUAACAAGGUAACCGUAGGGGAACCUGCGGUUGGAUCACCUCCUUA